rnacentral:lncRNA from 1 species
CUCAUUCCUGAGCUCUGGCUUUAGAAUGAAGGACUUUCCCAACCUUCCAAGAUCCCCUGCCCUCGCUCACCCUGCUGACCCAGAAAGAGCUUGCCCCACCCCGCAACAGCUGCAUUCCAGCUGUGGAGCUCAGAGGAAACCUUCGGGAAUGGGAAUUCUCUGGCUGGAAAGGUGAAUGCAGAAUGUAUUCUAAUGAUACCUGAAGGCUGGCAAAAAUCUGCAAGCGGAGAAGCACAAGGAGCAGAUUCUUGACUCAGGGCUCCCCUUUCAAUUCUGCAAUGGGGAAGAGCCAGCUGUUGAGGACAGAGAAAGUUUUCAGUGGUCUUAGAGAGCUGAACCCCUGCGGUGAGAUGCAAGAAACGCAAUUCAGACAUCCUUGCGAAGAUUCAGAAAUAGUUUUACUUACUCAUGAGCUCUCAUCUUUUUAAUUAAAGCACAACAUCCUGCUCAAAACAAGCCUUUGGAACAACAAAGUCAACAGAACCUUAAUUUGGGAAUUUGCUAACUGAUCUUGAUGACUGUGGGCAGGUUACAGCAGCAGUGGACAGGCAGACGACGGGGCGAAGGUCUCCCAGGCGGUUGCCGGUGUUUCCAAAGACGCGUCUUUGCCUGAGGACUCAGGUGGAGAGGGGGGGCCUGAGAGACCAAGGAGGAGCCUUUAAAUACGUAGAAGUUGGCCAGACAGGGUAGGCCUGAGCAAAUGGCUUUUUCGGCAGCUGAAGCCCUCAGCAGCUGUCAGAACAACUGCCACCAAGCCCUCCUGGUUGCCGGGAGGGCUGCAGCAUGAACUGGGGCCUUUCCCCUCAGUCUCUUCGCCGUGAGCUGAUCUGCUGGGACUGCCUUGUAGACCCUCAGGUUAAUGACAGCCCACCUCACUACCUGGUUUUAGCAUAGCUGGCAGCAGCUGCCUAGCUACACACUAUCUGAUCCAAGCCUCUAAAUUUCCUGGCUCUUGAGAUUCUGCACCUUGUCACCAGCAUCACCAGCCACCCAGCCAGAAGCAACAAUUAACCGCCACAGGAAUGCUUUGAGAAGCCAGUAUCCAAGGUUACCGAUAAUGCAAGUUUGGAAACUGAAACAGGAAGGAAUGCAGGCUGAAAAAGCUUUUAUCCAGCCCACAGCGGUUCUCUCUCCAGAUGCAAGUUGCAGGUCCUUCUAGUUGUGCUAUGUGGGACGCCGCCACAGCGUGGCCUGAUGAGCGGUGCCAUGUCUGCGCCCAGGAUCAAAACCGGCGAAAGCCUGGGCCAUGAAGUGGAGCGUGCGAACUUAACCACUCGGCCACAGGGCCGGCGCCAGGAAGAACUUCUGAAGCUAACAAAUAAACAAACAGCACAAUGACAUCAAGAGAGAGAGAAAGAAAGGGUAGUGUCUGAGAUGUGAACGUGGGCAUUGCCUUCUGGGGGAAUGGCCGCUCUUGGCAUGGUUAAAAUGUAAAACAUCCAUCCCAGCUAUAUGAUAUAUAUAGAUAUAUAUCUAUAUCUUCAGAUAGAUUCUUUAUCUCUGGACCCUGAUGAUAGGGGCUCAUCGUGAUCUGCUUUGUUCUUCCAGCUUAAAACUGUCACCAGGAGCCCCGGAUAAAAAAUACAGCCUCUGAUUCAUGCACAUAGUCAGGAAACAUCCCUUGUGCUCAGUACAGAAACAUGUCGGUCAACCUGGGAAAGGAAUCACCACCACGAAAUAUGCUUUUAGCUUGCCAAAGCUUAGCAGCUGCAAGAGCCAAAAACCCAGCUGCCUGGACUGUCUGGGGAAGAUGGGGGCCGGGGUAGAGGGUGGGGGAAGAAAGAGAGGCUUUCUAAAUCACCUAAUUUCUGCCUCCAACUCCUGUUUAAUUCCAAGCCAAAACUCACCUCGAAAUGUCUCAAGGGCCAACCGCUCCUAAAAAAUCGCGUUCAGCGCCACCCCUUCCAGUGCUGUGCCUGCCGGCCAGGUGAAGCAGAUGGCUUUUAUUGAUUAAUUUAUUUAUUUGGAAGGGGCUACUUGAAGUCAGGAAAUUCCAGCGAGACAGAGCGCGUCGCCCUGGCCAGAAUUGCCGUGACAAUCAUAAGCAGACACCCAGGGAGAGGCGCAUUAAAAGCAAUCACAGCGAAGUCCCAGGAAGCUGGGGCAUUUUCAGUCUCUCUCCUGUCCGGGCCUCCAUGUCAGCCGUGCACUUAGGAAGAAAUACUCAUUUGGUUCAACAUUCUGCUGUAUUAAAGGGUUCGUCUGAGCUAUGUUGGGCCUGCAUUGUCAAAAGGGCUCCACAAAUCAAACAUGCCUUGGACUUGGGCCUCCCCUUGAAGCCCUCCUUAUACAGACAGACCCAAACAGACAUUCCCACUACCUUAGGGCCCAGCACAGAAAGUCCUCUUUAAUAAACAUACCCCAUUUUUCAGUGGAACAGCCUCAAGGUGUCAAAAGUACAUAAAGGUCUGAAAGCUGAAACCCUAGAUAAACAGUGCGCCGAAAUAUAUUUAGCAAAAAAUAUUGAAAGCCACAGGAAAAAUAUGUUCUCUUCCUGGGAUGUUAACGAAGGUUUAGGUUCAGGAAACCUCCAGGAAAUAGCAAGUUGGGUUGAGAAGGAAUGCUGCUCAAUGUAAAUAAAUCGCUAAACCUCUUUGGCCUCCAUAGGCCUUGGCUGGAAUGGAGUAUUUCAUUUCUUCCCCAUUAACCAGGCCACCCGGAGAGUUGGCAUUAUAGACCUGAACACGUACCAAAUCUGAAUGUGCUGUUUUGUUUCUGUACAUUGAAUCAGACUGUGUUUCAAAUGGCAGCUUGUGCAAAACGGGGGGCCGGCCAUCCAGACUGGUGCACCUUCACUCUGGGUAAAUGACAGACCUGUUUCACCUCGGAUCACCCAGUGUCUUGUCUCCCACAGGAACAUCCCCUCUGUGGUUGUUACUCAGGGUGAUGUCAUGCUCACUCGAAAGCCCACGGUUCUGAGGGACUCGGUUGCCUCUGCUGCAAGAAGACGCCUUUAGAAAGACCCAGAUUUCCUGCAGGCUCAGGGUAGGGAGAGAGAGAACAAGAAAGGGCAGGCAACCACUCUCCCUAAGAUGGAGGCUGCAUGACGUAAGUGGCUGGCUAAAAUAUCUGGCAUCCUUGCAGUUUUAAG